CGUUUAAGACUAAGACGUUGAUAGGCUGGGUGUGUAAGCGUAGCGAUACGUUGAGCUAACCAGUACUAAUGAACCGUGAGGCUUAACCUGACACACCGAAGGUGUU
rnacentral:rRNA from 1 species